rnacentral:rRNA from 1 species
GUCUAUGGCCAUGGCACCCUGAACACGCCCGAUGUCUGAUUGCGGAAACUAAGCAGAGUGGGGCCUGGUUAAUACUUGAGUGGGAGACCACCUGGGAAGAUCAGGUGCUGUAGGCA